rnacentral:rRNA from 1 species
UACGGAGGAUGCGAGCGUUAUCCGGAUUCAUUGGGUUUAAAGGGUGCGUAGGUUGCCGAUUAAGUCAGCGGUGAAAGUCAGUGGCUCAACCAUUGAAUUGCCGUUGAAACUGGUUGGCUUGAGUACGUACGGGGCAGGCGGAAUGCGUGGUGUAGCGGUGAAAUGCAUAGAUAUCACGCAGAACCCCGAUCGCGAAGGCAGCCUGCCAGGCCGUGACUGACACUGAUGCACGAAAGCGUGGGUAUCGAACAGG